UGGGUUUUGACGUGCAAGGAUGGGGUGCUUAAUUGCGUGAAUGGUAUCCGUGACAUAUUUCUAACGGAAGCUGAAAGUAGAAGGAAAUGCUUGACUUAGGCUGCAAUUCGAUGAAUGAAAUGUCAACAAUGAUCGUAAAUUUACGCUAUGUGAAAGCAACACCGCCUCAGUGUGGCACAGGGUAUCACAAAAAAAAAAAAAAAUAAAUAAAUAAAAAUAAA